AGCCUAUCACUGUACUGCAAUAUAUAUAUAUACAAAUAUUAUAUAUGUAUUUUGCAGUACAGUGAUAGGCUAAUUUUUAA